UAGUCAUCAAGUUCAUCUGAACUUAAGCUCAGUGUUUUAGGUCUGACUUUUUAAACUGAAAUAUUAAACACAGAGAAUUUACUUUUCAAUCCUAAACCAGAGGGGUAUUCCAGAAAGCAGGUUCAACACACUCUGAGUCUUUCCCUUAACUCUGAGUUGACUUACUCUGAGUCGGGAAACUCUGAGUAUCCGGUUCCAGAACAGCUGAUCUGAGUUAGUUCAAUCAACUCUGAGCAUGUUAACCUCGAGGUACGCGCGUGCACAACCACUAUAAAAAGCCAUCAUCAAUGGAGCCCCGAUACCACGAGUCACCAUGACAACCGAGAAAAAAAAAAAGAUCAACCUAUUUCAGUGAGAAGGAGUUGGAGAUCCUUUUGCUGGGCUACGGAGAAUAUGAGCACAUAUUUCGCCGCGAAUGCAACACAGCUGCAGCAGCGAAGGAGAGAGAGACCGCAUGGGAGAAAAUUGCUGCCCGAGUCAACGCGUGCAAUCCAACAGGAGAAAGGAGGACUUGGAAGCAGCUCAAAAUUAAACAUAAAAACAUCAUUCAACAAGGUAAGGCAUAUUUUGCUAGGCUAUGAUUGCACCUCACUUUGAUUUAUUUUUUUAUUUUUAAUUGACUAAGGCUAUUAAACGUAACGUAAAUAUUAAUUCAGAUUGCAAACAUUGAGUUCUGCUCUGCCAACAGAAAGAAGGCAGAGGCCCGAAAAACGGGUGGAGGGCCACCUCCACCACCUCUGUCAGAGGCUGAGGAGCUGGCUCUCAGCCAAUACAGCGGUCGCCCUGUGGCUGAAGGCAUCCCUGGACACAAGUGCCUACAUCAGAUGCAAGUAUACACUUAUGUCUUUUUUUUAAAUGAAAACCAUUCAAAAAACUGAGAAAGAAAUGGUGUACCUGGACCAGCAAAUCAGAAAAACAGACUUGUAAAUUCUAUUACUUGAACGCCAGUUGAGGUGGGUGCAUUGUCAUGGUGAAACAGGUGAAUAUGUGAAAUAUGUUAAUAGUUGGAACUAUAUUACAAAUCCUGACUGUUGCUUUUGUACUUUUAGAGAAUAAAGAAGAACCAAAUCACA